CCUACGGGAGGCAGCAGUGAGGAAUAUUGGUCAAUGGACGGAAGUCUGAACCAGCCAUGCCGCGUGCAGGAAGACGGCUCUAUGAGUUGUAAACUGCUUUUGUACAAGGGUAAACCUGAAUACGUGUAUUCAGCUGAAAGUACUGUACGAAUAAGGAUCGGCUAAUUCCGUGCCAGCAGCCGCGGUAAUACGGAGGAUCCAAGCGUUAUCCGGAUUUAUGGGGUUUAAGGGGUGCGUAGGCGGAUUGAUAAGUUGGAGGUGAAAUGUCCGAGCUUAACUCGGGAACUGCCUCUAAUACUGUUGAUCUAGAGAGUAGAUGCGGUAGGCGGAAUGUAUGGUGUAGCGGUGAAAUGCUUAGAGAUCAUACAGAACACCGAUUGCGAAGGCAGCUCACCAAUCUAUAUCUGACGUUGAGGCACGAAAGCGUGGGGAGCAAACAGGAUUAGAUACCCGAGUAGUC
rnacentral:rRNA from 1 species